ACCCAUUUAUCAUCUUUAUCAACUCACCAAUCAUCCUAUAACACAAAAUACCAUAAAUUAGAGCUCAAAAUAACAUAGAAUCUACAUGACGAACUAGAAAAGAACAUAGCUCAAGCUAAGCGUACUAGUUUUUAUAUUGGAUAAUUAACUUAAUUUUUUUACUCCAAAAUCAUUAUGAACACACCUUAAAUACUAAAAGUCCAUAACUUAACACUUGGAUGCUCAUUUAUACAAAUAUUGCUAAAUAAGGUCAGAUAACAACACUGAGGUGCAUAAAUCCACCUCAGAUCACAUAUCCCUUUUUGGGAUCUAGAUAUGUUGUAGGUUGAUUAGGAUUUUAUUGUGUGAAGUGGUGGUCAUUCAGCAUCAACUUCUGCACUAUUUUUCUAAGUAAAUUGUGUCUUUUCUUUUUGUCUAUUAUCAUUGUAUAAGCUCUUAUACAUGUCUAGACUAGGUUUUGUAUAACAUUGCAAGUUGUUGAUUAUGUACAUCAACAUUAUAAGGACUUUCUAUUUCAUGAUUAUGUCAACUUUUAUUUUGGAAUUAUUUAACACUAAAUAAAGUUUAUUUGAACUUCUUUAAAAUCAUUGAUUGGGUGGAGAGGGUUCUAUAAUCUAGUUAGAAUAGAAUGUGUGGCAACAUGAUCCUAUAAUUUGGGUCAUGAUAGUAUGUCUCAAAACACUAGGUUACAGGUCUCAUAAGUAUAAUAGCAAUGUCGAGUAGAGUCCUGUAGAUUGGUAAAUAGACGUCUACAUCAAAUCCUCUAGGAGCUAUGAGACAUCUAAGAGUGAUUCCCUUUCUUAUUUCUUAUUAUGCUGCCAUAUUUAUUAUAUACCUGGGUUGAGACCAAUUGGUAGCCACUCGAUUCUAGUUGGAAUCUCUACAACCAUAAUUGGAAUCUAAUUGAUUCCAAUUUGUAUUUGGAGGACUUAGCAAUUGGGAACUAGUUUAUUAUAAUUGGUAUAUGUCAGUAAGAGUCAAGACUUAAAAUUAUUGGGUGAAUUAUGAUGAAAUUGUUAAUUUAAUCCUCACUUAUGAAUAUUAAUAAGAAGAAUAUAGUGUACAUUGAGUUUGAGAUGAUUUGGUUCAUUGAUGUAUUUUAUCAUCUAUAUGCACUUAAUUCUAUGAAUUUUGUGUAAAUUUUAUUAAAUAGUUGCAGUUGUAGGGUAGGUGAAUUUUGCAUAGUGAUAAGAUUGUGAGGAAUUAAGGGUGAGGCAAAAUAAUGGGAUUAGCGUGUUUUCUUUAAGUUUAAUUAAAAUGAUUUUUUACUUUUAUGGGUGUAAUAGAAAAGUAGUUGUGAGUGGAUUAAAUUCAAUUAGGAAAUUAUGACCAUCGUGGUAAAAAAUAUACCCACAAAAUCACGUCAAAACAAACUAUCAAGUUGAAGGAAAGGAGUGAAAAUUUGUCUCAGUUACUUAUUAGGGUUGUUAUAGAGGUAGAGUGUCGCUACAGUGAGACCACUAUAGAAGUUUCUUGCCCAAUGUAUUAGGCUUGCAAAGGUUGUUGUAGCAUGAUCUUCAUUACUAUAGCGGGACUAAUGCAGUAGAUAGGGCACCACUGUUGCAGGCAUAGGCAGAAAGGCUUGCCAAUUUUUUUAGAAAAUCCUAUUUUGUAAAUACACAAUUUAGAAGCAAAAUCUGGAUGUUGAUAUAAUAUUCCUAAACAUAUGAUCCUACAAACAAGGACAUCAUAAAAAGAUGCCACCAAUGACACUGGAAUAUAAAAAAAAUAAGUUAUCAAUACGUAAGGUGGGAAUAAAUAGAUGUAUUAAAACAUUCCCACUAGAUGACCAAUAUUCUAAAAUAAACGGUGGACCACCAAACUAGGCCUGACUGGUCAUACCAUUAUCUCCAAGGCUGGAUACAUCUAUGCUUUAUUCAUCUAGCCUACUCAAAAAUGCAAACUCCUAGGCAUUGGUCAUCUUCAUCUUAUGAUACUUUUUGUUUGGAUUUACAAAAUCCAAGAGAAUCUUCAUACCCUUCCAUAGGUAGACCAAUAGUCUAUCACAGAAGCGUUUCUUCUUCUUCUCUACCUCAAGUCUUUUUAGAGAUCCAUUUUAGCCGAGGCUAAGCUAGAGUCCACACUCAAGAUUUCUACGGGGCCCAAAGUAUUGAAAGAGGUAGACUCAUGGGAAGGAAUGGGAAUCUUAGUUAGCGUCUCCUUUAUAGCCACCAAAUCUUCCUCCAAUUGCAUAAAGCGCCUCGAUGCUUAUGGGGGGGAUAGUCCCUAACCCUCCACCCUUUUAGUCCCCAAUACUCUCUCCAUAGGUUUUUUUCUUUCUCUUUUUCUUACUCUUCCCUCAAUCUCUCUUCACCUUUAAUGGGUUGAAGGGUCCAUGAUACUCAGUCCAAAUAUCCUCUGACUGUACCAAUAAUUUUACCUUCUGGCAUAGAUCAAUAAUAAGAUACAAAAGGAAAAUGUCCUUUUAAGUAAGAAAGAUAGACUUACACUUUGCAAAUUUGUUCCCCUAUAUUCACAUUAUCCAGGCCAGAAUGCAUGCCACUGCCAAUACCUACGCAUGGUUCACAUUAAUAACAUUUCCUGAGGGGUAGACCCUCCUAGAAACUAGGUUCAGCCAUAUCCGAUUAGCCAUCCGCUGGUCAUCAUUCUCUUUGUUCUUUGCUGGUUACCUGGACUUAGAGGCGUCAUG
rnacentral:lncRNA from 1 species